rnacentral:rRNA from 1 species
UACGUAGGGUGCAAGCGUUAAUCGGAAUUACUGGGCGUAAGGCGUGCGCAGGCGGUUGGGGAAGUUAGGUGUGAAAUCCCCGGGCUCAACCUGGGAAUUGCAUUUGAGACUGCACGGCUAGAGUGUGGCAGAGGGGGGUAGAAUUCCACGUGUAGCAGUGAAAUGCGUAGAGAUGUGGAGGAAUACCGAUGGCGAAGGCAGCCCCCUGGGAUAACACUGACGCUCAUGCACGAAAGCGUGGGGAGCAAACAGG